rnacentral:rRNA from 1 species
GAUGAACGCUGGCGGCGUGCCUAAUACAUGCAAGUCGAGCGAACGGACGAGAAGCUUGCUUCUCUGAUGUUAGCGGCGGACGGGUGAGUAACACGUGGAUAACCUACCUAUAAGACUGGGAUAACUUCGGGAAACCGUAGCUAAUACCGGAUAAUAUUUUGAACCGCAUGGUUCAAAAGUGAAAGACGGUCUUGCUGUCACUUAUAGAUGGAUCCGCGCUGCAUUAGCUAGUUGGUAAGGUAACGGCUUACCAAGGCAACGAUGCAUAGCCGACCUGAGAGGGUUAUCGGCCAACCUGGAACCUAGACACGGGCCCGAACCCUACGGGAGGCAGCAGUAGGGAAUCUUCCGCAAUGGGCGAAAGCCUGACGGAGCAACGCCGCGUGAGUGAUGAAGGUCUUCGGAUCGUAAAACUCUGUUAUUAGGGAAGAACAUAUGUGUAAGUAACUGUGCACAUCUUGACGGUACCUAAUCAGAAAGCCACGGCUAACUACGUG